GACGAACCGGACGAACGUUAUUCGGAAUCACUGGGCUUAAAGGGUGCGUAGGCGGCGUGGAAAGUUGGAUGUGAAAUCCCUCGGCUCAACCGAGGAAUUGCGUCCAAAACUGCCAUGCUCGAGGAAGACAGGGGUGAGCGGAACUCACGGUGGAGCGGUGAAAUGCGUUGAUAUCGUGAGGAACACCGGUGGCGAAAGCGGCUCACUGGGUCUUUUCUGACGCUGAGGCACGAAAGCUAGGGGAGCGAACGGG
rnacentral:misc_RNA from 1 species